UACAGAGGUGGCAAGCGUUGUUCGGAAUUACUGGGCGUAAAGCGCGCGUAGGCGGCUUUGCAAGUCGGGUGUGAAAUCCCCAGGCUUAACCUGGGAACUGCAUUCGAGACUGCAUUGCUAGAGUAUGGGAGAGGGAAGUGGAAUUUCCGGUGUAGCGGUGAAAUGCGUAGAUAUCGGAAGGAACAUCAGUGGCGAAAGCGACUUCCUGGACCAAUACUGACGCUCAUGUGC
rnacentral:rRNA from 1 species